rnacentral:rRNA from 1 species
AUUGAACGCUGGCGGCAUGCCUUACACAUGCCAGUCGAACGGCAGCACGGGUGCCUGCACCUGGUGGCGAGUGGCGAACGGGUGAGUAAUACAUCGGAACAUGUCCUGUAGUGGGGGAUAGCCCGGCGAAAGCCGGAUUAAUACCGCAUACGAUCUACGGAUGAAAGCGGGGGACCUUCGGGCCUCGCGCUAUAGGGUUGGCCGAUGGCUGAUUAGCUAGUUGGUGGGGUAAAGGCCUACCAAGGCGACGAUCAGUAGCUGGUCUGAGAGGACGACCAGCCACACUGGGACUGAGACACGGCCCAGACUCCUACGGGAGGCAGCAGUGGGGAAUUUUGGACAAUGGGCGAAAGCCUGAUCCAGCAAUGCCGCGUGUGUGAAGAAGGCCUUCGGGUUGUAAAGCACUUUUGUCCGGAAAGAAAUCCUUGGCUCUAAUACAGUCGGGGGAUGACGGUACCGGAAGAAUAAGCACCGGCUAACUACGUG